UGUUUCUCUGUAUAAUAUUAGUAUUUCGUUUCCUUAAAAAAAACUCCAACAAUUUAAACCGGAAGUUCAUGUUUAUAAUAUGGCGCGGUCAGGAAAAAAAUUUCGGCAUGUUAUUAUCAAAUCUGUUCAAUUUUUCUGAAAUCAUGCUUAAUUAACAUUAGUUGUUCGGCGCUACGAUGUUGUUCAAAUACUUACAUUACAGAAUCACAUUAUGAUUAAAGCAGAAACGGCUCGACUUGAACCAGCAGCAGACGGAAGAUAUGGACGAACAACAAGAAGAAGUUAUGGAGGUCCCAACAACUGAACCUAUGGAAGUAGAAGAAUCGUUUACAGCCGAAACCCGAUACUAUGUGCCAGUUCCAGUCAUGGAGUCCUCCAUCUCAGACGAUGCCGACGUUAGUGUCUUCUGCGACGAAGAACCCGUAGUGGUGUAUACGCAGGUAGAAGCUGGUACCUCCCGUGGCAAGUCCAAGUUGUUUGACAACCAAGGGUUUAGUUAUACAAUUAAGACAGAGAAGAAAACUACGAUUUGGAGGUGUUCCAAAAGAAGCGGACCAACACGAUGUCCGGCAACAGUAAUCCAAGAUGGUGAUACAUACCAACCAGGCUUAAAGAACCAUCUUCACCCAGCAGAGCCCGGUAUACACACGGCUACCAAGAUAAAAGUUACAGCAAAGCAUGAAGCCAAAGGAAAUGUUUUUACCAAGUCAUGUUCCUCAAUAGCGGAGAGAGUUUUAUCCAGUGUCGGUUCUGCAGAAGAACCCAUUCAUAGCAGACCACCCAUGGCAGCACUUGUAAGGUCGCUACAAAGAACCCGACAGACUCUGCGACCAAAAGAUCCCACUGACGUGUCGUCAAGCCUUAACGAAGAUUUCAUCGAUCAUAGUGCACCGGGAUUUUAUCAAAAAAGAGUAAAAGUUGGGGAAAGGCGCCAUCACAUUUUUUGUACUGAUAGACAGAUGCAACUACUCGCACGCGCAAAAACUUUUCGGGUGGUGAACAAGCCAUGG